AAUAUAUCUCCCAAAGUUUCUGCCUCCAACUCCAGAAAACAGAGCUCAGUUGUUCACCAGGGGGAAUCAAGCAUUGGAAAUUAGCAUCAAUGCAGAGGCCGAAAAUACCAUGAUCUCUGAGCUCCUGUUCAGCGGGCCGUCCGGUAUGGUCAAGAACUCAUUUGGAUCAGGAAACUUCACACUGAGAUGGACACCAUCGGCGAGAGAAGAAGGAGAAAGCCACCCCGUCUGUUUUGUUGUCCAGGCAAAAUCAUAUUCUGCCAAGUAUCACUCCGAGCUCCGAUGUGUCAUUGUGCAGGUCGGAUACAAUGUUUUAGCCAGAGUGAACAUGAAAGUUUUUUCUUCGUUGACAUCUGGAGGCAACGUCAAUCAUGCCCUUCUGCAAGAGAUUAAAGAAGAGCUGGUGAGACUGGGGCUGCCUUCAAACACCACUCUGAAUCUUCUGAAAAGUCACAGCGUGUUAGUCAACACAACUAUACCCGGUGUUUAAUCGAGAAAAGUGCAUCAUAUCCCUGCAGGAGGCUUACUGCUGCCGCCUUCAGGUGUUUCAUCCUUGCAUUUACUGUUUUAAGCCACAAUUUAGGUGUUUAGUUGUUAUCCUAUAAUGGAACAUGUGUUUUAUUAGAUUUUUAAUUUAUGUGCUUGGAAUCUGAUAAGUCAUACAGUAUAGUUUUAAGCAUCAAUAAAUUUA